GGAGUCUGGGCCGUGUCUCAGUCCCAGUGUGGCGGAUCAUCCUCUCAGACCCGCUACGGAUCGCAGGCUUGGUAGGCCUUUACCCCACCAACUACCUAAUCCGACAUCGGCCGCUCCAGUCGCGUGAGGCCCGAAGGUCCCCCACUUUCUUCCUCAGAACUUAUGCGGUAUUAGCCAUCCUUUCGGAUGGUUAUCCCCCUCCAACUGGGUACGGUUCCGAUGCUUUACUCACCCGUUCGCCACUCGCCAUCAGGGUGGCAAGCACCCCACUGCUGCCGUUCGACUUGCAUGUGUAAGGCAUGCCGCCAGCGUUCAAU
rnacentral:rRNA from 1 species